rnacentral:rRNA from 1 species
UACAGAGGUCUCAAGCGUUGUUCGGAAUCAUUGGGCGUAAAGAGCGUGUAGGCGGCCCGGUAAGUCCGCUGUGAAAGUCCAGGGCUCAACCCUGGGAUGCCGGUGGAUACUGUCGGGCUCGAGUCCGGAAGAGGAGUGUGGAAUUCCUGGUGUAGCGGUGAAAUGCGCAGAUAUCAGGAGGAACACCAAUGGCGAAGGCAGCACUCUGGGACGUGACUGACGCUGAGACGCGAAAGCGUGGGGAGCAAACAGG